AGCAGCCGCGGUAAUUCCAGCUCCAAUAGCGUAUAUUAAAGUUAUUGCAGUUAAAAAGCUCGUAGUUGAAUUUCGAGAUCGGCUUACUGGUCGUGCUUUUGUACGUACUGGUAUAAUCGGUUUCUCCUUUCUGACGAACUUUAAUGCCAUUAAUUUGGUGUUUUAGGGAAUCAGGGCUGUUACUUUGAAAAAAUUAGAGUGUUUAAAGCAGGCUCACGCUUGAAUACAUUAGCAUGGAAUAACGGAAUAGGACGUUUGAUUCUAUUUUGUUGGUUUCUAGGAUCGACGUAAUGAUUAAUAGGGAUAGUUGGGGGCAUUAGUACUCAAUUGUCAGAGGUGAAAUUCUUGGAUUUAUUGAAGACUAACUACUGCGAAAGCAUUUGUCAAGGAUGUUUUCAUUAAUCAAGAACGAAAGUUAGGGGAUCGAAGACGAUCAGAUACCGUCGUAGUCUUAACCAUAAACUAUGCCGACUAGGGAUCGGAUGAUGUUAAUUUUUAAUGACUCAUUCGGCGCCUUACG
rnacentral:rRNA from 1 species